ACGGAAGGCAGCAGUGGGGAAUAUUGGGCAAUGGGGGAAACCCUGACCCAGCAACGCCGCGUGAAGGAAGAAGGCCUUCGGGUUGUAAACUUCUUUUACCAGGGACGAUAAUGACGGUACCUGGAGAAAAAGCAACGGCUAACUACGUGCCAGCAGCCGCGGUAAUACGUAGGUUGCAAGCGUUGUCCGGAUUUACUGGGUGUAAAGGGCGUGUAGGCGGAGCUGCAAGUCAGAUGUGAAAUCCCGGGGCUCAACCCCGGAACUGCAUUUGAAACUGUAGCCCUUGAGUAUCGGAGAGGCAAGCGGAAUUCCUAGUGUAGCGGUGAAAUGCAUAGAUAUUAGGAGGAACACCAGUGGCGAAGGCGGCUUGCUGGACGACAACUGACGCUGAGGCGCGAAAGCGUGGGGAGCAAACAGGAUUAGAUACCCUGGUA
rnacentral:rRNA from 1 species